ACCAGCAGGCAGUUCUCUGCGGAGUAGAUUCACUCCCAUGCCUCUGGAGCACAGAGAUGGGCAGUGGACAAUCUCCCACCGCUGGGGGCUCUGUGGAUUUCGCCGGGUGGAUUCCCCCGACCCGAGGGCUGGCUCUGAGCGGACCGGGAAAUGAUGCUGAAGAGGGGAAGGGAGCUGGGGCUGCAGCCGGACCCCUGCCCUGCACAUGGGGCGUGAGUGGGCUGGAGAGGAGGGAGCACAGGUGUCAGCCUGGCCUCGAACAGGAAGCUCCAGAACUCAUUCCCCUCUGUGCUGCCUGGGAAACUCAGGCAGGAGCAGCUGGGGGUGUAGGGAGCUGCCAGGUUCCCCAGAGGAGGGAAGUGGCUGGAGGAUCUGCUCAGAGCCCAGGACGGAGGGUUACGCUGAACUCUGUGCACAGGGAUACGCUGUGCACCCAAGGGACAGAGCACAGGCAACGGAGGCCAGGUCUGAGCGCAGGGAGGGGGAGCCGUGCCCAGGGGAGACUCAGAUGGAAGAGACUCAAGUUUGGGGUUAUUUUAUAUUUAACAAACCAGCCCCCAAGAAGAGGGGUUGUUAUUGGACACCAGCCUCCAUGGAUGACUCCUGGGAACCUGGAAUGGGGAAACUGAGGCAGGGCAUUGCAAGCUACACUGGCCACAAGAUGGCAAUCCGGAGGCAGUCGACCUGCUUACAGGAGUUAAGGGAAAAACAACACAUCCUCUGGGAAAUUUCAAAAUGAACAUUUUUGCUUAAUUUCAACUGUAAUUCCCACUUGUGGCUUUUUGGUUCUUUCCCACUUUUUUCUUCCACUUUUACUAUGUAAAAAAUAUGUUAGAAGGUGGGGAAAACCCCACCUUAGCUCAUGUUUCUAUGAUUCCUCCCUCUGGAAACAGUUUUUUUUUUUUUUUAAGAAAUGUAGAGGAGGUUUUUCCCCACACUUAAGAGCAAAAUCAAUUGGCAAAGUGUGAAUUUUUUUAAAAAGUUUACUAAGUGAGAGAAAGUAGCACUUCCUCGCUUUUAACUCCCCCCUCCUUUUCCAUUUGAAAAAAAAUUCAUCUUCUAUAGCAAUCUCACAACAGCUUGGAAAUAUAUUUUAUUAUAUGAAGGGGAAAGAAUUUGGACGUUGAAAUAAAAAUCAAACGUUCCACUUCUGUAGCCAGUCGAAAAAGUUUCAGCUCGGUGAGAAGUGAGUUUUUCCUCUGGAGGAGUUUGCAUUUGGCAACAUAAGUGCAAUGAACAGAUUCACCACCAGGAGGAGCCCUCUCUGUUCAUAUCCAUGGAGUAGGGUGUGGGCACUUCAAACCUUUGUGUAAGGGGGUAAAUCUAUUUAGAGUUGGAGAGAUGAGAUACCUACUGGUAACUGGUGUUUUCACCAUAAACACACAAAGUGAUGAAAAACCAUUUGCAUCCUUGAUAACAGACAUGUACAGCUAGAGGCAACGUCAGAAAAAUGGUGCUUGAGAAAUGUAUUAGAGUUUAAUUAAGACUAAAAUUGCAACAUAGGAUGUUGACAGUUUGUGUUGUAACUUUUGUGUUUUAGCCUUAACGUUCUGAAUCUCAAUAUCUAGUGUCAUUAAAUAGUUAUUGUCUGA